rnacentral:lncRNA from 1 species
ACGAAACCUGUGAACACUAAUCAUACCGUGAGAAGACACUUGUGUGUGUGCGUUCAGCUGGUGCUCUGCAGCCGCAGUUCGCUAUCUCAGACAUUCCCGUUGAGAGCGCCUUGGAAAAUGCCUUUCACUCGGAAAAGUCUCUUUUAUCCUCGGGGCAUAUUCAGGAAGCUGAGCUUUAAUCACUGGAGCCUAUUAAAUGGAAAUUAACAUCUCAAACUGUCUUUCAUUCAACCUGGUGUGUUAAAGAGGACUUUUCUGGCACAUACCAAUGAAGUUUCAGAAAUGCCC